rnacentral:rRNA from 1 species
UACGUAGGCAGCAAACGUUGUUCGGAAUUACUGGGCGUAAAGAGUGUGUAGGCGGUUUUGUAAGUUUGGUGUGAAAUCUCCCGGCUUAACUGGGAGGGUGCGCCGAAAACUGCAAGGCUAGAGUAUUGGAGAGGAUAGCGGAAUUCCUGGUGUAGCGGUGAAAUGCGUAGAUAUCAGGAGGAACACCGGUGGUGUAGGCGGCUAUCUGGACAAUUACUGACGCUGAGACACGAAAGCGUGGGGAGCAAACAGG